rnacentral:rRNA from 1 species
CCUGGCCUUGACAUACUAAGAACUUUCCAGAGAUGGGAUUGGUGCCUUCGGGAACUUAGAUACAGGUGCUGCAUGGCUGUCGUCAGCUCGUGUCGUGAGAUGUUGGGUUAAGUCCCGCAACGGGCGCAACCCUUUUCCUUAUUUGCCAGCGGGUAAUGCCGGGAACUUUAAGGAUACUGCCAGUGACAAACUGGAGGAAGGCGGGGACGACGUCAAGUCAUCAUGGCCCUUACGGCCAGGGCUACACACGUGCUACAAUGGUCGGUACAAAGGGGUUGCUACCUCGCGAGAGGAUGCUAAUCUCAAAAAGCCGAUCGUAGUCCGGAUCGCAGUCUGCAACUCGACUGCGUGAAGUCGGAAUCGCUAGUAAUCGCGGAUCAGAAUGCCGCGGUGAAUACGUUCCCGGGCCUUGUACACACCGCCCGUCACACCAUGGGAGUUUGUUGCACCAGAAGUAGGUAGUCUAACCGCAAGGAGGACGCUUACCACGGUGUGGCCGAUGACUGGGGUGAAGUCGUAACAAGGUAGGCGUAGAUGA